UACGUAGGGUGCGAGCGUUAAUCGGAAUUACUGGGCGUAAAGGGUGCGCAGGCGGUUAUGUAAGACAGUUGUGAAAUCCCCGGGCUUAACCUGGGAACUGCAUUUGUGACUGCAUCGCUGGAGUGCGGCAGAGGGGGGUGGAAUUCCAGCGUGUAGCAGUGAAAUGCGUAGAGAUGUGGAGGAACACCGAUGGCGAAGGCAGCCCUCCGGUCGGCACACUGACGCUCAUGCACGAAAGCGUAGGGGAGC
rnacentral:rRNA from 1 species